rnacentral:rRNA from 1 species
UACAGAGGAUGCAAGCGUUAUCCGGAAUGAUUGGGCGUAAAGCGUCUGUAGGUGGCUUUUUAAGUCCGCCGUCAAAUCCCAGGGCUCAACUCUGGACAGGCGGUGGAAACUACCAAGCUGGAGUACGGUAGGGGCAGAGGGAAUUCCUGGUGUAGCGGUGAAAUGCGCAGAUAUCAGGAAGAACACCCGUGGCGAAGGCGGUUCUCUGGGACGGUACUGACGCUGAGACGCGAAAGCGUGGGGAGCGAACAGG